CUGCGCUGACCCCUGUGCCCCACGUGUGCCGGGUGCCCACCCUGGGGUGCCGGGGUCCCCGCCUCUAGAGAGCAGCGCUCCUCGCGAGUCCCGGGCGCCCCCGCGCCUCGCCCCACCUCCGCGGCGCCUGGCUCGCCCUCCCCCACGUCAGGUGCUCACCCCGUCAGCGCCGCACCCCGGGGCGCGGCCGGGGACCCGGCUUUGCGUUCCUGAGAUUGAGGAUGUCGGGCGGCGGUCCUCCUCCCGGCAGGAGGUCCCGGUAGUUCCCCAGGACCCUCCACACGCUCCAAGGGGCUUCUGACUGGUUUCUGUAAAGAUUAUGGACUUUAUUAGCAUUCCUGCUCUAAGGAUUGCCAAUCAUGGGGGAAUGUCCACUGUCAUUAAAACUUCUGAAAAUUCAGACAGGUCAGUACACAGAAUCUUAUGCAGGAACCCAUAUCACAGUUUAUAAUGUCAUUUUAAUUUCUAAUCAUAAUUGCCAAUCUUUGUACAGCUUCUUUUUUGUUUUGUUUUUUUGAGACAGGGUCUCACUUUGUAGUCCAGACUGGCCUUAAACUCAUUAGGUACCCCAGGCUAGCCCUGAACUCUUAGUUAUCAUCCUGCCUCAGCCUCCCAUUUUGUAGGUGUGCCCCACUGUGCCUGGCCCUCUUUGCCUUUUGGAUCAUGCCUCCUGAGGAAUUCAACAUUUUUAGUAAUAAAAGAAAUUAAUAUUAAUUCUCAGGACAUGGAAAUAUUCAGUCAACUCAGGGUCCCAAAGAAGUCUUACAGCUCUCGUGGUAUUUAACACAUAGGACUUUUAUUUAUUUUUGUAUGUGUUUUGUUUUGAGACAGUCUCCCUCUGAGUUCAAGUUGGCCUUGAACUCACUUGUGGCAAUCCUGCCUCAGCCUUCCUAGUACUGAGAUUACAAGCGUGGACCACCAUGCCUGGCAGGACUUUUUUUAAGUGUUGGGAAGAUAGAAUAUCUUUUUCUCAAAACAACAUGAGGGCCGGGGGAUUUAGCUCAGUGGUUCUGGUGCCUGCCUUGCAAGCACCAAAAAAAAUAAAAACAAGGUGAACCAUUCUCUGAUUAUUUAAAAUGUUCUCAGAUUCUUGAUUAUUUUUGGCAAUAGUUAGAAAUAGAUUGUAUCAUCAGAGUUCAGGUAUUUCCAGCUAUUUAAUUUGAGCUGGGUGUGGUGGGCCAAGCCUGUAAUCCUAGCUAUUUUGGAGGUUGAGGCAGGAGGACUACAGGGUCCUAGGCCAGGCUAGGUAAUACAGCAAGACUCUGUCUCAAAAUAAAAUUUUAAAAAAGAACCAGGAAUUGACUUUGUAGCCUUUUGGAGUAGAAUUUCUAACAGAUUCCAAAGUUGAUUCCUAUAGGUCUGGCACAGUGGUGCACACCUUUAAUCCCAGCCCUGUAUGAGACCCUGUCUCAAACCAAAACCAAAAUUGAUUGCUGUUACUAUAAUACUGCAUUUACUUGCACCUUUUCACUAGAGGUGCUAUGGUACACUGAAAUGGUACAGGCAAGUAAAAUACAAUUAAAACUAGGAUAAUAAGUCCAGGGAAUUAGACUUAACUAUAAUUGAGAGUUGGUUCUUUGGCUGUGGAAACUGUGUGUGUGGCAUGCGCACGCGCUGCUGGGACUUGAACUCAGGUAGUGUUCAGCUACAUCCCCCAGCCCAAACUGUCUUCCAGCCUACAGUCCUCCUGCCUCUGUUUCCCAGGUAGCUGGGAUUACAGAUGUGCAAUGCUAUGGGUCAGUUGGUUGUUUAAUCCUUAGAAUGGAAACUUGUAAAUUGAAAGAAUGACAUGUUCUGUGGAAGGGGUUUAUAAAUUCAGUCUGGAGAGCGUGGCUGUGGCAGCUUGUUGCCUUGGGUUUAAAGGUUGGUGUCACCACUGUGGCCCUAACAGUCUGGGCCGUCUCCCUGUCUUCCCAGCAGAGGCACAGAUCCUGUGGUCAGGUGAGGUGGGACCUGGCUGGACAGUGACAGCGCUGCUUCAUUGGCGUCUGUUCCAGCAGGUGGGCAGACUGCUGACCUCUUGGGCAGGAGUGCAGCUCUGCCAGGUAGAACAGAGAACCAGCAGCGCCCAGCAGCACCAUGCUAGGGCAGGAGCUGCUGAGCUGAGUGUUCCUGUGACUUCCCCUUUUGGGUGUGUUUUGUUUUGCAUUUUCCUGGUCUUGUAUGGCUAAAGGAUAAGAUUGUUUCCUAAAGUCCAAUUCAUGUAUCUGAAAUAUAUUGCUAAACAAGGCAUUCUUCUCCACAGAACCUUUUGGCUCAUUGCCCCUUGUAGAAGAAAUACCUGGUAAUGUGGUUUCCUAUGUUUAUCUUCAUUUUUCUCUACUUCAUGUGAGAAUCUGUUGAUAGGAGGCUUCUGAGUUCAAAGAAAAUGAGAAAAUAGAGAUGAAUAUGUUGAAUUUCUAGUAAAGGACACCUGAAUCUCUUCUUAGUUUAAUUAGAUGAUUAGAGUUGGAGAAAGUCUCUGAACUGAUGGAAGAUUUUUUUUUUUUUGAGACAGGGUCUCACUAUGUAGUUGUCUAGCCUUAAACUCACUAUGUAGCCCAGGCUGGCCUUGAACUAGAGAUCCUUCUGCCUCAGCCUCCCAGGGUAGGGAUCACAGGCGAGUGCCACCAUGCCCAGGUAAAGACAAUUUUCUUGAUAAGAUUUUUUAAAAAUUUGUAACCUUGUCUUUGUCAUGAAGUGGACUAUUAGAACUUGCUGUGCUUGCUUCAGCAGCACAUAUACUAGACCUUGCUUAAACUAGAGAUUUUUGUUGUGUAACUGUUUUGUAGUAAUUUUUAAACCUUUGUUGUGCUGUAGAAAUGGCGUGUAUUUAUUUUAAACUUCAGUGAAUUCUGCAGUUCUAAACUUUUGCAGAAUUUUAUAUCCACCAUAAACUAUAGUGAUUUUCCAUAUUCUUUCUGCUAAGGAUCUUUCUUAUUUUAAAAACUUUUUCACAAGCUAGAAGGGUAAAUACCAAAAUUCUCUCUAGGCACUAGGAUAAGGAUAAUAUUUUCUCCUUCAUAUUUAUUAUUUUCUGAUUUUUAUACAGAGAACAUGCAUCUCAUAAAAAUGAAAAGUUAUAUUAAAAUCAGCAGACUGUUUCCUGAAGGGCUGAGAAAGCCUAAUUAAGAGGGACGGACUGCUUUAGAGUGUUUACGUCAGAGUGGCGUGGCAUUCUGUGUGAUGAGGCGCCGACUUUGUCCCUGCUGUACAGGAAAUGGACUUGUUCUCAGAGCAGCUUUGCCCCUGUGGUGUGGAAAGUGGCAUGGGUGAGAGGGAGUGAAGACCUAGUCCAGAAAGGGAGGUGUAAAGCUCCAGGUAUGGGCUCCCUGCUGGAUGGGUGUGCUCCAUGGCCAGCUUUUAACCUUCUUGCAUGAGGCCUGCUGUGCAGACAUGAAAAGUUGCUUUCAGAAAGGUGAUGGCUUCUUUACUACAUUAUGGGAUCUCAUUUGCAAAAUGUCUGUCCUUGGGAAGCUGAAAGUGUUUUCUUGCUCGCUUUCCCAACUCUUCCUUCUUAGCUAUUUCCCCAGGCGGGUUUGUCUCCACUAGGGGCUGAGGCCUGGUUCUUGAAGCAGAGUGGGGUGGAGAGGGCAGAACUACACACAGCAGCUCCCCAGGUGGCUUUCUCAUUGCUUCCACCUCUUGUUGGAACUGAAACAAAGAUGAGG
ensembl:lncRNA